rnacentral:lncRNA from 1 species
GGAGAAUAUAUAUUUGCUUGUUAUGGAAACCUAUGUUGUAAGAGUUUCAUUACCUUUGCCUCUUGUUAAACCUUGGGUAUUUAUAGGUGAUGAGAGCAGUUGGAUGUGGGAAACGUGUAUGCAUCUGAUAGUGUGAGGUGUUUGCUCAUAGGCGUCAAUCAGUUGCGUCUAUAGAAUGGGCGGAUAAUUACUUCUCCCGAGUUGAGUUGACAUAAAGUUGAUACGUUACAUCAACUAGGCUCAUGGAGACGUCAAAUCAAUUAAACCUUGGGGGCAGAAAGGAUCUUGACAUAGAUUUCUUUUUGAAAUUGACGGCGGAUUCUCUGACAAAGAGCCUCGGAAUGUAGUGCGCCUCGGCUUCAGGGGCGAGGACGCUUCGGUCGGUUCAGUAGAUUGUCUGUGCCUCGCAGUGCGUUAGCAGAUUGACAACAUUGGUGGUGGCGUCACUUCGGAACCACUUCGAAUGGGUGUUAAACACCUCGUAUAACGUGAUGAUAGACUUUUCGAAGUGGUUCAGAUAGGAGCGUAACAAUAUUGAUUGGAGAGACACUUUUAAAAGAGCAUACAAAGGUAAUAAUGAACUAUGUUGCUAGUUAACCAAACAAUUUCAAAUUGCUGACAACCAUCAAUAUAUUCAUUGACAUUUGAUGAGUUUCAGAGCAACAUGGGAAAUUUUGUAAAGUUAGGUCAAUGAACAAGGACGACUUGCUAAAAAAUAUUUGGAGUGCAGAAAACUAUGGGAUCCAAUAAUGGAGGCAGUGGGGGGCGAAGCCAAGAAUGGGGUGGCAAUCUACAGAGGCGGGGAUCGUUCACACUGCCAUGUACAUUGAGUCAGAAGACAGUUGAUUAGGUUUCGAAGGAUAUAUCAAAAGAGUCUGGUGUCAGGAAGGAUGGGAGUGGUAUCGUAUAUUUUUAGGAGAAAUCGUGCUUUGGAGAAGGAUGUAGAAAGGAAUCAAAAGAAAAUGAUAAAAAACAGAGAGUCAGUUACAAGAUUAAGGGAUUGAAAGUAGGUAAAUAUCUCAAAGUUUUUGUUUAUAUUUUCAAAUUUUUUAUGGCAUGUAUGUGACUAUUUUCAUUAUCACGUGUCAAAAUAGUGGACUUAUGAAUCGUAAAUACAAUGUUUAACGGAAAAUCUAAUCAAAUGCUCGGAAAAUCCAUUCUUAGAAAUUUGCCAUCUCUCUAAUUAUGUGGAGGUAAUUGAAGAUUCCAGACACUGAAAAAAUUUGUUGUUUCCAUGAAACUUAGAAUAAAAAUUGGACACAUGCAAGACUGCUGCUUAUUGAGAAAGAUAUCAGAUAAAUCUAAUUUCAGAGAAAAAGUUAAGAAAAUAAGUAAAUCGACAGGUUAACUUUCAUCUACUUAUCCCUUUAAGGAUUUUGAUUAUCACUGACAUUAUGCUUUUAUCAUGUUGCAUAUGGCAAUCUAAUGUGUCAAACAGAUGAAUUCACGUCCUGAGAAGUUUAAAGCUUCCAUUUGCUACAAGAUAAUAUAGUAUGUGCUUUAAGAAACAAUAAUAGUUUGUUUUACUCCUGCAAUUGUUACACAAUGUUAACACGAUUCUUGUCGUAAAUUUUAAUUAAUCGGUCAAUUAUGUUAUUGUUUACAACGCAUAUUAACUUCCAUUAAACCAUUUUUUAUUUAGUGUUUUCCAGGCAUACUCUACUAUGGAGUUGAAAGCAGAAGUUGCAAAACUGAAGGAAGAAAACCAAGAAUUGCGGAAGAAACUGGGAAGCGUGAAUUUGACUAAUCUCCAUUUCCAUUUCUGUAACUUCUUAUUCUUAUUAAAUUAUAUCUGAUUUAUACCAUUUGGGUAUUCUAUUAUGUAGGCAGGAAUUAUGGAAUUGAUGAGGAAUCAGAUACCUGUCACCGUAAUCUUUCCCUUUAAAAAAAUUUAACUUACAGGUAUUUGGUGAAACCUGGCCAAUUGUUUAUUUUCUACAUUGGGUCAAGAUAGAACUCAUUGCUUUUAAUUAAUCUUCUGUAUCCCUUAUCUCACUUACGGAUUUUCAUAGAGAGCAUGUCCAGAAAAAGUAGAAGUUUACUUAAAUUAACAAAUUUUUUUUUGGAUUCGUUGCCUUUUCCUUACUUCCAAGUAAAAACUUACUUUCAAAUUAUGACCAAUUAAGGGAAUUUCUAACUAUGACCAAUUAAGUGAAUUAUAUAUUUAUUCAUUUAAUCUUAUCCAAAGAAAAAAAGAAAAAAGAAAACCCUCAUAGUAAAGGCAAAGUUCAUACUGUUCUUGCGUUCAGAGAUGGAGGUAGUGGGUGGCAGCCCAUAUUAUUUUGAGGAAAUUAGGCCCUAUGCCCUCUUUUUCUAAGUGUUCUGGUUAAUACCCUUCAAUUAAUUAAACAUUUUAAGAAAGUACUAAUUACGUCCUAAAUUCUAACCAAAAGCCAGCUCAGUUAACUACAGCAAACCCAAACCUAAACCUAACUCUCCAUAUUCCUCAUUCGUAGAAAUUGUCAGCUUGCAAAAUUCACCAAGCACCUUCCGUUGAUCUCUUCUCCGAGCAAAAAAUACGACUCUAAAUCUCCAUUUUUGACCCAUUUUUUGUUGAUUUCUCCUUUGUCUCCCCUUUUUACGUCUUCAUUUUCUCAUUUUCAUUUCGACCCCAAAAUUUUGUAAACCUUGUCCCCAAAUCGAUUUUGCCCCACAAUCGAAAGACCUCGAAGUUCGAUUGUUGUAUUCCUUAAUGCACGUUCAAUUUUCAGUCAUUUUGAUUCUCAUUUUGUGGAGAUCUUAGAUACCAAUCCUAAAAAUCCCAAAUAGUCGAAACCCUAACUCGUUCCGAUCAAAAUGUAAUCUGAGUCCAAUUUCGACUUAUUCACUCCAACGCCGACUUUGAUACGAAAAUUCGACCCUUAUUUCUGUAAUGGUUAGAGAAAGUAGGUUGAAGAGGAAAAGAGAUAUUGAUGAAGAACCAUCUUCGAAGAAGAAGAAAUCUUAUAAACCCGAGGUAGCAUUAAUUUUUUUAGCUUCCGCUCUUAUGUGUACGUUUUAUUCUUCGUUCCUUUCCCAUUUUGAUAUUUUACUGGUUUUGAUGUUUCAUAUGUGACUUUUUUAGUUUUGUUCCAUGCCUUUUGUUUUGUAUAAAAUGAAAUAUGUAUACAACAUUCCAAAAUACUGCACGAACCAAAGUUUCAUAGAAUUUAGAAGCAUUAUUUUGUGGUCCUUGAUUUUGUUUCUAAGAGAAAAUGGGGAAUUAUAUUGAAUAGUUCAUAUAGGAUUUUGGGAUUAUUGGAUUGUUGAGAUUAGAGUGGACAUGGGGAGAUUGUGGAAGACAACAUAAGAUUGGUGGGUCUAGAAGCUAUGGUGGAAUGUGUAUGAUACAGUUGUCUAAUGAUGUAGUGGGUCAUGUGAUUGUAUGAUGACCACAGAGUACAACCUUUGUUCUUAAGUUUUGGGAAUUCCAAUAAAUGUUAGUAUAUUGAUAUAACUUUCUCAUCAUAAUGACAUUCAUGUAUUUACCGUGGAGUCUUGUUGCUGUGUUUUGAUGAUGAAGCAUAUUUGUGGUGAUUUUGUCACUUUUUUUUUUGUUUUAUGUCAUCUUUUUUAUAGUUUGUGUCACUUUUUGGGCUCUAUGUCACUUUUUCGACUUUAUGUCACAUUUUUUAUAGUUUGUGUCAUUAGUUUAGCACUAUAUUCAAAGAAUCGUUGAUUGCUCAAGAUUUCUUAGCUACUUGUUCACAGUAAGACAGAUUAGCUAUUAAUGGUUUUUCUUUAUAUUCAAUAGAGGAUAUGUUACUAGAAUUAUAAAUGUAGUUAUAUUGAUGACUUUUGAAAGUAUAAAUAAAGUUUGGAUGGAAAAUACGGGUGUAUAUAGUUAGAUACAAUGACCCUAUAAAGUUUGUCAUACGUUUGUAUUGCUGUGAAAGAAUACAGGGGCUAGUUACAGUGGAGUCUCAUUGUUGUGUUUUGAUGAGGAAGCAUCUUUGUGAUGAUUUUGUCAUUUUUUUUGAUUUUUUGUCACCUUUUUUAUAGUUGUGUCACUUUUUGGAUUCUGUGUCAUAUUUUUUAUAAUUUGUGUCACUUUUUUUAUUUAUUGUCAUUUUUUUAGUAUAUGCACUCUAUUAGUUGAUGUGAACUACAAACAUGUUUUUUUGUUAUUGUUAGCAUGUUACAUGGUUAUAUAUUAGCACUAUAUUUCUGGUGAAAAUUCAAAGAAAAUAAUCAUAACCUAUUUGGUCUUUGUCGGUCACCUAAUCCAUGUUUUUAGGGAGAGAGUCCAGCUUAUAGUCCAUUAGCACUGCAUAUUUGUCACUGUUUUAUGUCACUUUUUUUUAAAGUUUUUGUCACUUUUUUUAUUCUCUUUCACUUUUUUUUUAACUCUGUGUCACUUUUUAUUUUUUAUUUUAUGUCACUUUUCCAAGUGUAUGCACUCUUUCAGUUACAAUCACGUUUUCAAUCAUUUGAGUGCAUUAAAUUAUUUUUUGUCCAGCUUAUAGUCCAUUGAUAGUGCACUAUAUGUCACUUUUUUUUUUUGGUCACUUUUCCAAGUGUAUGCACUUUUUUAGUUACAAACAUUUUUUCAAUCAUUUGAGUGCAUUAAAUUCUUUUUUGUCCAGCUUAUAGUCCAUUAGCAUUGCACUAUGUGUCACUUUUUUUUUUUUUUUUUUAGUUUGUCACUUUUUUUAUUUUAUGUCACUUUUCCAAGUGUAUGCACUCUUUCAGUUACAAACAUGUUUUCAAUCAUCUGAAUGCAUUAAAUUCUUUUUUGUCCAUUGGCAGUGCACUAUAUGUCACUUUUUUUUUUUAUUUAUAGUUUUUGUCACUUUUUUGACUAUGUGUCACUUUUUUUAACUUCAUGUUACUUUUCUAAGUGUAUGUACUCUUUUGUUUACAAACUUGUUUUCAAUCAUUAUAACAUGUUUGAAAUGUGUAUGUUAUAGACUUUCAUAAUGCAUGUGAUGAGUGAUUUACGCUCAUUAUAUUAUGCCAUUAAUUUCAUGAUUUUGCUAUUUUAAAGAGUAUUUUAGAAGUGCUAACAAGUGAUUUUGGUGUUGUUUUGUAGAUUGAUGGAAGUGGAGAAAACAAGAUCUAAAAGAGGCCAAAGGAAGAAAAUAGGCGAAAGUUAGCGAAAUUGGAUGACAUGACCAAAAUGUAAGAGAUCCAAAGUUCGAGGAUUAAAAUGCAAUUAAUCAAAAGUCGUGUUGAAACUCACGAUGAAGAUCCGAGAGCGCUAGGAGUCAAUUGGAUGAAGGAAGGUGUCAAAGGGAUCAAAUUUAGUCAAAAUAUGAUCACAAAUCAUUUUCCAACCGAAAAGUUACGCGCCGGAGUUUUGGUCUCACAUUGAGACCUAUUUCCGACAUAGCAAACGAUCGAAUUGGGAA